GAAGACUAUGGGAAAUUCAAAGUGGCUACAAAGAAAAUGGUUGUUCCAUUAAAAAGCAUUGUUAAAGUCAGGGAAACGGAUACCUGUGUCUAGAACUUUGAUUAGCUACUUCUGCCUCUUCUUAGGUCUGCCCAUUUUCACUGUGUCA